rnacentral:rRNA from 1 species
GACGAACCGUGCGAACGUUGUUCGGAAUCACUGGGCUUAAAGGGCGCGUAGGCGGGCCAUCAAGUCAGGGGUGAAAUCCUCCAGCUCAACUGGAGAACUGCCUUUGAUACUGAUGGUCUCGAGUAAGGUAGGGGCAUGCGGAACUGAUGGUGGAGCGGUGAAAUGUGUUGAUAUCAUCAGGAACUCCGGUGGCGAAGGCGGCAUGCUGGACCUUCACUGACGCUGAGGCGCGAAAGCUAGGGGAGCGAACGGG